rnacentral:rRNA from 1 species
ACGCCAGUGGCAUUGCCGGGUAGCUAUGUUCGGAAAAGAUAACCGCUGAAAGCAUCUAAGCGGGAAACUUGCCUCAAGAUGAGAUCUCACUGGGAACUUGAUUCCCCUGAAGGGCCGUCGAAGACUACGACGUUGAUAGGCUGGGUGUGUAAGCGUUGUGAGGCGUUGAGCUAACCAGUACUAAUUGCCCGUGAGGCUUGACCAU